GAGAGAGGGAACUGCUGCCGAUGCGCUCCAUUUCGUACGUGCCAGCACAGCCGCCACAAGGGCAGGGACUAGACACACAUGGGGAAGAAAUGUCACAAGCUGAAGCAGGAUCAUAAGGUCCCACCCUAAACACCCACCCUGACCAACAGAUUAAGAAUCCCCAGGCUGGGGUUGGACAUGGAUAGAACUGGGAAUCCAGAGACCUACAAAAGAAGAACAAAUUUAGAAACCAGUAACAAUGAAGAAAACUCCCUAACAUGGCUGUAAAUAAAAAUGAUCAGGACAAUGUAGGAUUUCAAGUCAAUGAAGAGAUUACAGUAAUGUGCAACUCUGUACCACAUCCCAGAACAUCAAGUACACUUAUAAGAUAGUCAUUAGUAUAAAUGUUAUAGUAAUACGUACCUGAAACGUGUCUCGUAGUCACGUAUUGGUUCCUCUGUGCUGCUCAGGGUCCUGAUUAAAAAGCCUGCUUGUAGUCAUUCUAGCAACCCUACUAUAACUGAAGUGAAAUCCUUAUCUUUCAUCUUAAUAUUGCAACAAAAGCAACUGCCAAAACCACUGCUUCCUCUAUGACCAUUUGUUCUAUAAAAUAUAAAAAAGUCAACAGAAAGUCUUUAUAGUACCCAUAAUUUAAAACAAUAACAAAAGAGUGAGUCAGGCUAGGUUACCAAAUAAGUCGGUGUUUGUCUGAUUCAGCCACAAAUAGUAAAAAAGCACUGGCACGGAGAGCUACAAACGGGACAAGCAAGAUGCUUGAUAAAGGGGUUACUUUGCCCCGAAAUGU